rnacentral:rRNA from 1 species
UAACAAGGUUUCCGUAGGUGAACCUGCGGAAGGAUCAAUA